AUGUCAAAUCCUUUCAGAUUAAACUCGUUUACAUUUUGUUUACACGUUGUCACUUUUCUUAGCGGUGCAGCUGUUUUCACAAGAAAGAAUCCAUUUCCUCCGGAUCCCCCUUUGCCCAGGAGCCACUACAGUCCAUCUAGAUCCAGAAAAACCCCAAAGCAACAAAAAAGACUGGCCUUGAGUCCUGUCCGGUUUACUGAGCCACCCAGUCCUUCAGAUCUUCCUACUCAGGCGUCACCUUUGAGGACAGAGGACCAGGUCCUCCAUGAAAGUGUCCUGCUCUGUCCCCCUUCUACUGAAUGCCAGCUGAGCUACUCCGAGUCUUGGCCUUCUACUGACCUGAGUUGCUCUACAGACAACAAUAACACUUCUGUCUGCUCUGAAGUUCAGAUGCAAGCCAUGAGAAACAUGGUUGCACCAACAAUAAUUGAGGCAAAGGAACCCUCAGUUCUUGCAAAGUACAUUGAACGCUUCCGUUUCGGAAAGCCACAGAGUCCAGACGAAAGACGACUUCAGGCAGCUGUUGCAGAAGAUGACCAGCCGUUUUGGUGGAUGUCCACAUCGCCUGCAUCCAGUUCAACACCAACACACCCAUCAGAGAAAUAUAUCAGAGCACCACUUGACCUCAUGAAGGAUGACCCGGCCAGCACUCAGAGCCCAAUCACAAAGCUACAGCAUGAUGAAACCACGCUGUCUCCAGCUAGACACAUGCUCGACCUUAGUAUGCUGACAUUAUCUGAAUCAUCCCACUGUGAUCAAGAAGAACCAGAGAUACUGCAGCUGCAGGAGCGAGCCAGCCGUUUACUGCAGAGGAGGUGAGACCCACUGUAAACUCACACUCACUCAAGGCCUGGGGAGGAGGGAUGUCAUUUCACAAUGAUAAAUGACCACCAACAUAGUCAGCUUCCUGUCUGAAUGUCAGGACUGAAUGUUCAGGUGUGAAAGUCUAUAUUGGAGUUUUACAAUCAAACAAGAUUUAGUGCUUUUAUUCAUCAGUAACACUAAUGACAUUCAUAUGUUACAAAACAUUUCUAUUACA
rnacentral:lncRNA from 1 species